rnacentral:rRNA from 1 species
GACAGAGGGGGCAAGCGUUGCUCGGAAUUACUGGGCGUAAAGGGCGCGUAGGCGGAAUGGCAAGUCGGUCGUGAAAUCCUUCGGCUUAACCGAAGAACGUCGAUCGAAACUGCCGUUCUUGAGGAUUGCAGAGGAGACUGGAAUUCCCGGUGUAGCGGUGAAAUGUGUAGAGAUCGGGAGGAACACCGGUGGCGAAGGCGGGUCUCUGGGCAAUUCCUGACGCUGAGGCGCGAAAGCGUGGGGAGCAAACGGG